GACGAACGCUGGCGGCGUGCUUAACACAUGCAAGUCGAACGGUAAGGCCCUUCGGGGUACACGAGUGGCGAACGGGUGAGUAACACGUGGGUGAUCUGCCCUGCACUUCGGGAUAAGCCUGGGAAACUGGGUCUAAUACCGGAUAGGACCACUGCCUGCAUGGGUGGUGGUGGAAAGCUUUUGCGGUGUGGGAUGGGCCCGCGGCCUAUCAGCUUGUUGGUGGGGUGAUGGCCUACCAAGGCGACGACGGGUAGCCGGCCUGAGAGGGUGACCGGCCGCACGGGGACUGAGAUACGGCCCAGACUCCUACGGGAGGCAGCAGUGGGGAAUAUUGCACAAUGGGCGCAAGCCUGAUGCAGCGACGCCGCGUGAGGGAUGACGGCCUUCGGGUUGUAAACCUCUUUCAGCACCGACGAAGCGCAAGUGACGGUAGGUGCAGAAGAAGGGCCGGCCAACUACGUGCCAGCAGCCGCCGUAA
rnacentral:rRNA from 1 species